rnacentral:misc_RNA from 1 species
AAGGAGCACCACGAAAAGCAUCCCAACAAGUGGGGUGCAAGCCGUGAGGGGUUCUCGUCUGUAGUGGACGAAAGCCGGGUGCACGACAACAAGCAAAGCCAGACACACUAUUGGGUCCUGAGGCAACACUCGGGCUCUGUUCGAGAGUUGUCCCACCAUCUUGGUGGUGGGGUGUGAUGUUUGAGAAUUGGAUAGUGGUUGCGAGCAUCAAAUGGAUGCGUUGCCCUACGGGUAGCGUGUUCUUUUGUGCAAUUUUAUUCUUUGGUUUUUGUGU